rnacentral:rRNA from 1 species
GACGAACGCUGGCGGCGUGCUUAACACAUGCAAGUCGAACGGAAAGGCCCUGCUUUCGGGGGGCGCGCGUGGGGCGAAGGGGUGUGUAACACGGGAGUAACCCGCUCCUGUCUGUGGGAUAACUUCAGGAAACGGGGGCUAAUACCGGAGAGGAGCUCCUUCUGCAGGGGGGGGGUUGGAAAGUUUGGGGGGUUGGGGAUGGCCUCCCGGCCUACCUGUUUGUUGGGGGGGGAGCGGCUUACCAGGGGUUGGGCGGGUAGCCGGCCUGGGAGGGUGACCGGCAACAUUGGGCCUGGGAUACGCCCCGGACUCCUCCGGGAGGCAGCGGUGGGGAAUAUUGCACAAUGGGCGGAGGCCGGAUGCAGCACCGCCGCGUGCGGGAUGAGGGCCUUCGGGUUGUAACCCGCUUUCGCCUGUGACGAAGCGUGAGUGACGGUAAUGGGUAAAGAAGCACCGGCUAACUACGUG